rnacentral:rRNA from 1 species
UACGGAGGAUGCGAGCGUUAUCCGGAUUUAUUGGGUUUAAAGGGUGCGUAGGCGGAUUUUUAAGUCAGCGGUAAAAUGUCCGGGCUCAACCCGGGCCGGCCGUUGAAACUGGGGAUCUUGAGUGGGCGAGAAGUAUGCGGAAUGCGUGGUGUAGCGGUGAAACGCAUAGAUAUCACGCAGAACUCCGAUUGCGAAGGCAGCAUACCGGCGCCCGACUGACGCUGAGGCACGAAAGCGUGGGGAUCGAACAGG